rnacentral:rRNA from 1 species
CCUACGGGUGGCAGCAGUGGGGAAUAUUGCACAAUGGGCGAAACCCUGAAGCAGCGACGCCGCGUGAGUGAAGAAGUACUUCGGGAUGUAAAACUCUAUUAGCAGGGGAGAAAAUGACGGUACCUGACUAAGAAGCCCCGGCUAACUACGAACCAGCAGCCGCGGUCAUACGUAGGGGGCAAGCGUUAGCCGGAUUUACUGGGUGUAAAGGGAGCGUAGACGGCGAGACAAGUCAGAAGUGAAAGUCCAGGGCUCAACCCUGGGCCUGCUUUUGAAACUGUCGGGCUGGAGUGCAGGAGAGGUAAGCGGAAUUCCUAGUGUAGCGGUGAAAUGCGUAGAUAUUAGGAGGAACACCAGUGGCGAAGGCGGCUUACUGGCCUGUAACUGACGUUGAGGCUCGAAAGCGUGGGGAGCAAACAGGAUUAGAUACCCCGGUAGUC